GUCGAACGGCAGCACGGGAGCAAUCCUGGUGGCGAGUGGCGAACGGGUGAGUAAUACAUCGGAACGUGCCCAGUAGUGGGGGAUAGCCCGGCGAAAGCCGGAUUAAUACCGCAUACGACCUACGGGUGAAAGCGGGGGAUCGCAAGACCUCGCGCUAUUGGAGCGGCCGAUGUCAGAUUAGCUAGUUGGUGGGGUAAAAGCCUACCAAGGCGACGAUCUGUAGCUGGUCUGAGAGGACGACCAGCCACACUGGGACUGAGACACGGCCCAGACUCCUACGGGAGGCAGCAGUGGGGAAUUUUGGACAAUGGGCGCAAGCCUGAUCCAGCCAUGCCGCGUGUGGGAAGAAGGCCUUCGGGUUGUAAACCACUUUUGUCAGGGAAGAAACGGCUUGAUCUAAUAAAUCGAGCUAAUGACGGUACCUGAAGAAUAAGCACCGGCUAACUACGUGCCAGCAGCCGCGGUAAUACGUAGGGUGCAAGCGUUAAUCGGAAUUACUGGGCGUAAAGCGUGCGCAGGCGGCUAUGCAAGACAGAUGUGAAAUCCCCGGGCUCAACCUGGGAACUGCAUUUGUGACUGCAUGGCUAGAGUACGGUAGAGGGGGAUGGAAUUCCGCGUGUAGCAGUGAAAUGCGUAGAUAUGCGGAGGAGCACCGAUGGCGAAGGCAAUCCCCGUGGACCUGUACUGACGCUCAUGCACGAAAGCGUGGGGAGCACACAGGAUUAGAUA
rnacentral:rRNA from 1 species